UCCCAGCAAGAGCCGAAACACUGAAGGUGAUGGAAGAGCAACGUGAAGCGAGAGGGUGACGGAACCGUGCGGCCCCCGGGGGUGCGUGCUUCGGGGGGUCGGCUGGCUGGUGAACGACCAGGUGCCACUGUCUCCUCAGGAAGUGGAGACACACGGACAGAGCAGUGGGAGGGAGGUGACCCGCCAGAAGCCGAAACAAGGAGGACUGCUGGCAACGCAAAAGCUGUGCUCAGUAGGUUUUAUGUACCAUGUGAAGGAAAAUAUGGAAUAUUGGUACAUAAAGAUGCUCAGAGAACUACAUCUAGUAUAAAUGUGUGAGAUCAAUGAGAGUCUAAAUCUGCCUGAAAAUGGGAUAUCUUUGAUAAUUGAGCUAAUGCCAGUGAUAUGCACCUACCAGUUGUAUUUCCUACCAAUCUGUGUAUAGAAUUAGUAAAGACAUUAAAAAGGGGAAGAUACUCAGUGACCAAAUCAAAACAAGACCUCCUGGUAUAUGACAGAUGCCUUCAAACCAGACAUUAUCCCAUGGGAAAUAGAAUUAUGCCCUGGUGACUGCAUCUGUCUAGUUUCACAGCUCAUUAACAAGACAGUCCAGGAGGGGGUCACACUCUUAGUGCUCAUUGCCCAUAUUACCUAGGCCACUGCUGCAGAUGUGUAUCCUUCAGCAUCAACAGCGUACGGUCUGGGGACCUUCGAAACCAGUCACCCAUCUCACAUGAUGAUAAAUGUCUCUUCACAUCACUGGGUAAAUGUGCAUUGUCUGGAGUUAGAGGGAUCAGAAAGCACACAAAUAUAUGAGCUAAAGCUGUCUGUUCAGAAUGGGAAAAAGGAAUGAAGGAUGGGCCUGGUGAGCAGCCUUUCUGCCAUCAGAGGAUACAGGCUAGUGAAUGUGGGAGGGCCUAACAUGCAUCUGCUGCAAGGUUUAAUGCUGGACAUGAAUGGUUGGGAAAAUAAAAGUUGAUAACGAUCAAGCCUAGCU